UACGUAGGGGCUAGCGUUGUCCGGAAUCAUUGGGCGUAAAGAGCGUGUAGGCGUGCUCGGUAAGUCCGCUGUAAAGUCAAAGGCUCAACCUUUGAAUGUCAGUGGAUACUGCCGGGCAGAGUCCGGAAGAGGCGAGUGGAACUCCUGGUGUAGCGGUAGGAAUGCGCAGAUAUCAGGAAGAACACCAACGGCGAAGGCAGACUCGUGGGACGGUAACUGACGCGUGAGACGCGAAGCGUGGGGA
rnacentral:rRNA from 1 species